rnacentral:lncRNA from 1 species
GGAGUAUUAGUGGUUGGUAUUAUGCUUAUUUCAUGAUGAUAUCUGUUAUUAUAUUUUGGAAUAUUACUUUGGAUGUCGUGCUGCCUUUGGAUUAUUAGUGGUUAGUAUGAUUAUUUUCAUGAUGCUAGUUGAUGUUCUGUUACUGUUGCUUGGAGUAUUAAUUUCGGAGAGGAUGUUUACGUGUGGAUCUUAGCUGGAUAGCUUUGUUCUUGUUAUUGGAGUAGUAGGAUUAUUGUUUUUGGAUUCAGCAUGAUAGAAGUGUUAUGCUAUCCUCGGAGUAUUUCAAUAUGAUGAUGGUAUGCUUUAGAUUAAUUGUUGGAUAUUGCUAUGACUUGUAUUAUAGUUUGAUAGUUGAUAUCGAAGUAUCAGUGAUCAUAGUUAUAUUUUUGGGGAUAAAUUCCGUCAUUAAGUUGGUCAGGUUCCACCGAACCGGGCUUUUCCAGUGCAACCACAUUUGCCUUUUAUGGGAAGGCCCUAAUGUGAUGCUAUUGUCAUGCCUCUCGCCGGUGCCUCCAACGAGGGAAGGUUAUGGGCGCACACUACCCUGAUCAGGUAGGCAGACAUAAGCCUUGUGUGCCCCUAGUGUUGUUAGGCACCUUUUUGUCCCUGUUUGGGACCGUUUUCGUUUUGCCACGACGGUGGCCGUUGGUGCCUUUGGUAGGCACGGGGCCACCCAGGACUGAACCCAAAAGAGGGUGUUGGUCGGAGUGGCUGGGAGAGUGUCAUGGCAGUAGAUCGAUUUUGUCGGAAUGCCAUUGGUCUGCCCGAAUGGGAGUGCGAGGCCAUGGGUUCCGUGGUGUGUGUACAGUGCGCUACCUCUGCAGAGAGUGUGUGUGUGUUUAAUCUAUUGAUAGCCGCGUCCUCAGUCAUGGGCAUAAGUUUGUACUGGGUCACACCAUUCGAUCAACACUCACAUGACGGAAUGGCUUAUAGGUGAUGUAUAUGUUGAUAUUGUGAGCUGUAACAGUUUGGUAGGAUGAUGAUGAUGAUGUUGGGAUGAUCUUCAGAAAGAUCAUUCAGUUUGUGAUGUGGUCACAAGGUGAUCAUGUGGAUGUUCUGUUUGUGAUCCGUGAGUGAUCACCGUUUUUGUUUUGGUCACGAGGUGAUCGAGAUGGUAUAUUGCUUGGCCGGUUAGCCAAGUGUGAGAUGGUUCAUGUGGUACUUGAGAUCUGAGAUCAUGGCUUAUCAGUAUUCUAGUAGUUCAUAUCGUGGUUAUUAGUUGCUUCAUUAUGGUAGCUGUUAAUUUAAUUAACCUGCUUAAUGCUAUGUUAUUGUCUUGCCUUGAUGUUUUUGGUUAUUGUGAGCUUGCAAGUACAUUCAAUGUACUGACCUGGCGUGUCAUGCCAGAUUGCAGGUGAUGCCGUGAUUGCUUGAUUGCUUGUCGUGGUUUCCGUUCGUGCAAGCUAGAUCGUGUCCCAGCCAGAGUCCCU